GGUGGUUCAGUGGUAGAAUGCUUGCCUUGCAUGCAUGAGGACCUAGGUUCGAUUCCUAAGCACCA
rnacentral:tRNA from 1 species